rnacentral:rRNA from 1 species
AUUGAACGCUGGCGGCAGGCCUAACACAUGCAAGUCGAGCGGAUGAAGGGAGCUUGCUCCUGGAUUCAGCGGCGGACGGGUGAGUAAUGCCUAGGAAUCUGCCUGGUAGUGGGGGAUAACGUCCGGAAACGGGCGCUAAUACCGCAUACGUCCUGAGGGAGAAAGUGGGGGAUCUUCGGACCUCACGCUAUCAGAUGAGCCUAGGUCGGAUUAGCUAGUUGGUGGGGUAAAGGCCUACCAAGGCGACGAUCCGUAACUGGUCUGAGAGGAUGAUCAGUCACACUGGAACUGAGACACGGUACAAACUCCUACGGGAGGCAGCAGUGGGGAAUAUUGGACAAAGGGAGAAAGCCUGAUCCAGCCAUGCCGCGUGUGUGAAGAAGGUCUUCGGAUUGUAAAGCACUUUAAGUUGGGAGGAAGGGCAGAAAGUUAAUACCUUGCUGUUUUGACGUUACCAACAGAAUAAGCACCGGCUAACUUAGUG